rnacentral:rRNA from 1 species
GCGGAAGGAUCAUUACCGAGUUUUCGGGCUUCGGCUCGACUCUCCCACCCUUUGUGAACGUACCUCUGUUGCUUUGGCGGCUUCGGCCGCCAAAGGACCUUCAAACUCCAGUCAGUAAACGCAGACGUCUGAUAAACAAGUUAAUAAACUAAAACUUUCAACAACGGAUCUCUUGGUUCUGGCAUCGAUGAAGAACGCAGCGAAAUGCGAUAAGUAAUGUGAAUUGCAGAAUUCAGUGAAUCAUCGAAUCUUUGAACGCACAUUGCGCCCCUUGGUAUUCCGGGGGGCAUGCCUGUUCGAGCGUCAUUACAACCCUCAAGCUCUGCUUGGAAUUGGGCACCGUCCUCACUGCGGACGCGCCUCAAAGACCUCGGCGGUGGCUGUUCAGCCCUCAAGCGUAGUAGAAUACACCUCGCUUUGGAGCGGUUGGCGUCGCCCGCCGGACGAACCUUCUGAACUUUUCUCAAGGUUGACCUCGGAUCAGGUAGGGAUACCCGCUGAACUUAAGCAUAUCAAU